rnacentral:rRNA from 1 species
UACGGAGGGAGCUAGCGUUGUUCGGAAUUACUGGGCGUAAAGCGCACGUAGGCGGCUUUGUAAGUUAGAGGUGAAAGCCCGGGGCUCAACUCCGGAACUGCCUUUAAGACUGCAUCGCUUGAAUCCAGGAGAGGUGAGUGGAAUUCCGAGUGUAGAGGUGAAAUUCGUAGAUAUUGGGAAGAACACCCGUGGCGAAGGCGGCCAUCUGGACCGGUACUGACGCUAAGGCGCGACAGCGUGGGGAGCAAACAGG